rnacentral:lncRNA from 1 species
UUUUUGUGAAAGAAUGGGAAUAGAACGUAGCUUCACCAGCCCGUACCCCCCACAAACCAAUGGAUUGGUUGAAAACGCUAAUAAAUCCAUAAAAAGAGCAUUGCGAAAGAUGGUUGAUGACAAUGGGAGUAAUUGGGAUAAAUUACUUGACCCCAUUUUGUUUUCUUUGAGGACUAAAAUACACGCAUCAACAAAAAUGUCACCAUUUCGACUAAUGUUUUGUGCAGACCCACGGUUUCCAGAAGAAGUCUCAGAGAAUUACACAGUAAGUGUAUGUUAUUACCAGCACCUUUCAUGUACACAUGGCAUUAACUGUGUCUUCAUUUUACAAAUACAACCCCUUCUCCAUAAUUUUCCAAAGAUCCCAGAUCUGGAUACACCUGAGGAAGAAUGCUGCAAAGACUACAGCAUCAACAGGAAAUCGAGACAUGAGGCUGACAUUGCACUGGCCCUAAGUAACAUUUCUAAAGCACAAGAAAAGCAACAAAGAAAUUAUGCUAAAAGAAAGAUUUCUAAAUAUGGGGAAAUAACCUUUGCUGUUGGUGACUCUGUUCUGUUACUGAAUGCUAGAAAGAGAACAAGAAAAGGAGCAGUACUGGAAUCUAACUAUCGGGGACCAUACAAAAUUACAACCGUUGAGGGUAAGAGAGUGAAAUUAGAAACCAUCUCAGGAAAACAGUUAGGAACCAUGUACAGUAUUGCACACUUCAAACCAUUCAAAGAGCCACCAACAUUAGCUGCUGAAAGCACAUCAGAGGGAAAACUCGGAACUGAAAUUGCAGUUGGUGACACUGAACCAGAAAUACCCACAGAAGAAAUUAGAAAAGUGGUUGGUACUGUAUCUCACGACAGCACAUUAAAAAACAUAGAGGUCACAGCAAUGGAAGAGGAGGAGUAUAUAGGGCAAGAUGUUUCAAAGAAUGAUACAAGUGAUGCGGAUGACAUUUUUGAUGACGUGCUUAUGGAGGACGUGGAAAACAAGCAAUGGAUUCUGAAAGGUAAUUGGUUACUGCACAUUUCUUAAGCAGAUUAAAAUACUUCAUAAAUGGAACUAUGUUAAAGGUUUUCAUGUACAAAAUGGUGGCAUUCACAGUAGUAAAACAGAAAAAGGAAACUGUAUUCCCAUGCAUGUAAUAUGUGUUAAUA